CACUGGCCCAGGCUGCCCAGAGCAGCUGUGGGUGCCCCAUCCCUGGCAGUGCCCAAGGCCAGGCUGGACGGGGCUGGGAGCAACCUGGUCUGGUGGGAGGUGUCCCUGCCCAUGGCAGGGGGGCUGGGAAUGGAUGAUCUUGAAGGUCCCUGCCAACCCAAACCAUUCUACGAUUCUAUGAUUAAAACAAUGCAGCUCUACUUCUUAAGGCUACUUCUAUAUAAAUGCUAAAUAAUAGUAACAGAAAAGGGUGUUGCCUGAUUUUUAGUAAAAUGUACUGUAAUAAGAAUAAUUAUUUUUUGAUCCAUUCCAGUUUGAGAGGCUUCAGCUGAGCCUGUAACUAAGUUACACUGUCAUAAAUGAGACUAUAGCAAUCAGUCUCAAAACCUGUUAAAUCUUUCAGUUCCAUGAAUGUAAUAUGCUAUUUCUGCUGUACAAUGAAUUAAAUGAAUACAUGACCAAGAUCUAGAUAAAAACAUGCAGCAGCAAGUCUGAGGGCAACACUGUAUAAAAUAAGAACAAUUUAAAAUGGAGUAAUAUGAUUUAUAGCUGAAAAUCUUUAGUUGAUAAAAGAACCUCAUUCUCUUCCCCCCCAGCCAAGUACAACCAAAAAGAUCAGGAAAUCUGAAAAUGUGGGAGCAGAAUAACAACCCAGCAAAGAAUGAUUUUCUGUGGGAGCUAUCAUAGGCUUUAAGAUGUAUCAUCUGUGCAAGAGAGAAUAAUUGUUAUUCACCUCAUUUUCUGAAAAUUAAAAUCCAGAAGAUGUACACAGUACUCAGGACCCUGGCUCCAGGCUAAAUUGUAGUGGAAGAUGUGGCUUGCUCCAGAAGUGGUGGUGGAAGCCAUUGCACCUGUGUAACUGACUGUCCUGGCUAAUGCUCCCAAAGGUUCCAGGUAAAGUCCUCCAAACAGCAGCCCUGACCUCAGCUCCCAAGAAGUCCACCACAGAUGCAAAAAAGAGUAGCAUUUUCUCCACGCUACACAGAUCCACCAAAGCAGAAGCUGAAGGUAUGACGGCAUCGCAACAGUCGGAUGGAGCACCAGCUGUGCAAACACACAGCCCAACCUGUGAUAAAAUCCUUUUUCCUCUCUACAACAGCUGUAAUAUUGUCAGAGCUCCUUGGAUACAGAAAAUCCCUACAAUUUCUCUAGUAGGGGAAAGCCAGUGAACAGUCCUGUAAUGUAGAGUAUCAUGGACUAUUAGUUAGCCCAGAAUUCAAGAGUGUAAGCCACAGGAGAAAAUUUCUUGCACCAAUUACAAACGUCAACGUUUCAAAGCCUUCUGCUACGCAUUAGGCACCAAAAUCAGAUCCCUCAGUCACAUCUCCCCAACUUCACCAAUGGCACUGAAGAUCUGAUACUCCCUGCUCAGCACUGAAACCUCAGAGCUCUGCAUCCACCCAGGACAGAAUGGUUCUGUGCAGGUCUGCAUGGGAAUGCUUCCUGCAGAUGAAAACAGUAAAGCUCAUGUGCAAGACUGCCAGCAAUGCUCUGCUAGCCUGUGUCUGAGAGCAGAGAGUCUGCUUUCAUUGAUGCAAAGAGGGUGAGCAGCAUUUAUACAGGCAGUUGAAUCCAGGGUAAGAAGAACAAGACCACCUCAACACUGCAUAGGAAGAACUCUGCAUCAGAGUCAGGACCCAUACUGUAAAUCAUAAAAACAUGUGAGUCCAGGAUUUCUUCAGUCUUCUGCUUUCAAGCAAAUUCUCUAAGCAUGCUACUGUCUUUUUUUAUUCUGCUGUUAGUUGUAACAUUCAAAAGUGUAUUCCCUUGAACACACAUUUUUGAGAUACGGGUCUGGUUUUUGAAGGGGGUAUGCUCAGCAUUUCGCAGGACCUCAUCAGGGGAAAGAUUUAGACAUAAACCAAAUGGACAUAUCCUUAACCAUCAAAAACUUGAAAAUUUUAACCACAAAAAAUAUGUGUCUGCAUAUGUAAAUGUAAAAAUUCUUAUUACACAAACUCCUUGUUUCAAAAUAUAUCAGAUAACACAGCAUUAAGAAAAUUUACCAAUGAAUCUGAGUGUAAUCAUUUGUGUGCAAAGGAAACAAAACAAAACAACUUCUACAUGCUCAGCCUACUAAAAUGCAUUGCCAGAUAUUUGAGAACAAAUCAAGAAUUUGUUGCUAUUGAGAAAUGAAACAUGCAAUCUCUGGAACCAAACUGGUCACUGGUGAACAGUAAAACCCUAAUAAUUUCCAUAUUUAUUAAGUAAUCUAUUGCUGUUUACCCCAGAAAUCACUGCACAUGAAAACAUGACAAAAAAACCCAACCUGAGAAACGCUGGUGUAUGCUGCU